rnacentral:ncRNA from 1 species
GUACAGGUUGUGAUUUGAGAACUUAUUUUCAAUUUUGACUAGAAGCGACUCUUGGAUGGUGAAAGCAAGAGAGCCAAAGAAAAUAAGGAACACUCAAUGAACUGGAUAGGAGAAAUGAAAGUAGACUAUCCCGCAAGACAGCGUUAGAGUCCUAGAGUGCAUAAUUUUAAAAAUUAUGAAUAAGGAUGGUACCGCGAUAUCAGUCGUUCCUUUG